GGCAGGGGGAAGCCGAGCAGCGGGUGAGGUUCCCCCCAGCCUGUCUCCCGCGGGGGUCCGGCCUUCCCCGUGCGCCGGGCCCGGCCGCCCGCCGUGCCCCGGCCUGCUCGGGGCCCCGCGCUCCGCCCACCUGUGAUGCCAUAGUAAGGAGGGGCUUUUCCUCUGCAGACUCCUCCCUCGGAAUCUCCUUCAUCACCAUGGCAACAGCCUUAUCUGCCGCCCUAGCGCCUUUCCCCUACAACAGCGAAAUCAACAAUGGCGCGAGUCAGCAGCGAGCCGGGCAACCACCGCGUCCCAACACACCCCAGAACCGCUGGCGGCUGCAACCAAAGCGUGGUUGAAAGUAGAGCACAGAAACACCGUUCGAAAAUGACUUCUUCCAAAUAGCUGAGGGACGCUUUCUCCACAUAUACUUUUCUGAACUUCAGGCUGAAAAGGCAGAAGCCAUGACAGAGAAAUCAGCUUAUCUAUCUGAACUCUGAGUGGUUACAGAUGGACCUGGAUAUCAUGACGUCUCUUUGGAGGCACAUCUUCGACACAUCUAGCUGUUGCAAAGACUUUGAAAUCUGCUCUUUUCACUGAGAUUUCUGAUCCACUGGAGGAUUU